GGGCCCGUAGCUCAAUGGUGGUAGCGCCUCAAUGGCAUUGAGGAGGUUAGGGGUUCAAAUCCCCUCGGGUCCA
rnacentral:tRNA from 1 species